GCCCAUGGAGGCACUCAUCUCAGUAUUCUGCUGACUUUAUGUAUGUCAACAUGUUUCAUGACAAAAAAUUUAAAAAGAAGAAAAAUCAACAUUAUGUUUGGAAAUCAUGAUAUCUUACAUCAAAAAUAAAUAUCAAAACUACUCCUUUUUACCUAAAGAGACAGACUGUUGGAAUGAACAAUAUAUUGAUCUUUCUAAAACUCUGCUGUUGAGUAUUCUAAGCUGUCGCAGACACCAUUUGUUUCCACCUGCCCAUCUAGUUCGUAUUCAGCUAGGAGUACCACUUUGACUUUCCUUUCAAGAAAAGAUGCAUCAGCUCCCAAGCCACUCCCAUUGCUAUGCGUCAGCACUAUCACAGUCUGGAAUUACCAACCUACGUUUUGAUGGAACCCAGAGUGGUAAUACUCUGCAACAAACCUGUUUACUUUUAAGAAUCAUUUAUUUCUUUAACUAUUGGAGAAAUAAAGCAAGAUAAAGAAGAAAAAGAAAUAUAAGAAUACAAGACUAAUCUUAAAAAAAUGUGCAGACUUUCAGCACCAUCUCGAAACAAAAUAUUCCCUCCAUGACAAUGUUCACUGAACCACUAAUUUUCUCUUGAUCAAAACAUGGGAUCAUUCAAGCAAAGGAAUGACUGGUGUGUUGAUCCAAAACUAGAGGAAAAUCGGACAUAGACCUUCAGGUAAAAGAAAAAGCAGCAACUUGGGAAGUUCAAAAGGCAAGGUUAGGGGUCACUUUUCUGAGGUCAAAGGAGUGUAGAUGAAAUAGAGAUGGGACACACUGGAGCUUGAGUUUUCAUUAGACAAUGCAGUAGUUGGUAUGUUUUAAUUCUUCACUGUGUACCCUUUCAAAGACCCCCUGAGUCUUGGGUCUUCAUUCCUAUAGGGCAUUCCCUUCCAGCUCCUGUGGUAAUUGUUUAGUCAGACCUUUACUGCUUUAAUUCACAUACCUAUAGGUUUAUCUUGUGGGAGAAAGUGGACUGACUAUCUCCAGGAACUAGAAACAUGAGAUGAGAUCCCCUGACAUCUAACCAUUCCAAACUUUCCCUGACAUAAAAAUAAAGCAAAUAUUCAGAUGCCUAAAAUGCCUACUUACUCUUUAUGGGAUGUCCUCUUCAUACAAACCUUGAAGCUGCCAACCUUCAAAGAUGUGAAUACACGUCUGCAGGUCAAGCAUGUAGGUUGGUUCAUGUGUCUGCCUUACAUUGUCGCAUGUGGGCAUUCACUUCAAGUGGCUGCGUUUUUGUGUACUUUGCUGUACAGCACUGUAGAGGACAGUAGUUCAGCAUCUCUAUAUCCAGCCCAGGAUGUCUGAAAGCAAGUAGGAAAACAGCAAUGACGUAGCCUUUAUGGUGCUACCAGACUGUACCACUGGAUCAUUUUUCCAAGAAGGUAG
ensembl:lncRNA